rnacentral:lncRNA from 1 species
CACUGAAUAUACAUCCCUUUUGAGGGGUUAUGAACAGAUACCUGUAGGCACAGCUGUAAAACAUGCUCCUUUCAGUCUAAUCAGGGCUUUGCUUGGGGAUUCUUCUAAAGCUGUGUUAUUCUUACCACGCUUGAAGCAGGUCUGCAUAGAGCCAGCUGUGCACUUUGUACAGCUCACAGAAGGCUGUGGUAGGGACAGAGGGAGACAGGGGGACUUGGGCUCCAGAGAGAAUUUGGUCAUUUAUGUUUGGCUAUACCUCAGAAGAAUCCAUAGCAUUUCCCGUCGUCCGUGGACAACCGUGCCGUUGCGUGCCACAGAGACACUAGCAGCAGCAUACCUCUUCUCAGCCCUGGAGCGAGGAACAAGGCCUCCUCACACAGCUUACCUAUGUAAGGCCCUUACAGACCACCAGCCUCCUCACUGAGCUGGUGGCAGGUCUUCCACUCGCAUCUCUGGGGCUUUGGGGGACCAUCAUGAGUCAUCCAUGGACCACUCACUUCCGCUCUCAAACCUGAACUCUGGCUUUGCUUGAUCAGCAAAGCUGAUAUUUUUUUUCUAUCUAGAGAUAUAAUUCAUAACAUCUCAUGGCACCACGUAUUUUUAGUUAAUCUGAUCAGGCCUGCAUUUUGAAUCCCUCUGUUUUUGAACCACAGUAAAUCUACUGCAGAUGUGAGACUUCUGUCUCCAAGUUCAACUGGCAGGUCAUCACAUGCAUCUUUAUGCAGAUGCAGUGGAAUAGCAUCCAAUUCAUAUGUUCAAUUCCUUAAAGGAAUCUUAACACCAGUGCUAGACCUGCAGCUGCAUGGGGCUGGCUUACCAUUCAAACUGCUGCAGGCAAGGAUGAGGAUGGCCUCCCCAGCCACUUCUGUAAGAUGUAGAGAUGGGUAUCCUGUUCUCUUGGCUUCAGGGACUUUCAGAGAUGGCCAUUUGUCUCACUAACAGGGAAUCUGGCUUUGCCUAAGCUUGUGGCAGUUCUGUAGUGUGACUGUCUACUUAGCAAGCAAGCAGAGCAUCUAAAAACACUCCAUUCUUUCACAUCAGUGCAAAUCCAGGGAUUUAAGCCAUUUUUGUA